rnacentral:rRNA from 1 species
CCUACGGGGGGCAGCAGUGAGGAAUAUUGGUCAAUGGACGAGAGUCUGAACCAGCCAAGUAGCGUGAAGGAUGACUGCCCUAUGGGUUGUAAACUUCUUUAUAUGGGAAUAAAAUGUUCCACGUGUGGGAUUUUGUAUGUACCAUAUGAAUAAGGAUCGGCUAACUCCGUGCCAGCAGCCGCGGUAAUACGGAGGAUCCGAGCGUUAUCCGGAUUUAUUGGGUGUAAAGGGAGCGUAGGUGGAUUGUUAAGUCAGUUGUGAAAGGUUGCGGCUCAACCGUAAAAUUGCAGAUGAAACUGGCAGUCUAGAGUACAGGAGAGGUGAGCGGAAUUCUCGGUGUAGCGGUGAAAUGCGUAGAUAUCACGAAGAACUCCGGUUGCGAAGGCAGUUCACUGGACUGCAACUGACACUGAGGCUCGAAGGUGAGGGUAGCAAACAGGAUUAGAUACCCCAGUAGUC